GCCUCGAUGGUGUAGUUGGUUAUCACGUGGGUCUCAUAUCAGAGAUACGACCGAGAGCGCCUUGCGCUUGCAAUCCCGAGGUCGAGAGUUCGAUCCUCUCUCGGGGCA